GCGCCAGACUCCUACGGGAGGCAGCAGUGAGGAAUAUUGGUCAAUGGGCUUACGCCUGAACCAGCCAAGUCGCGUGAGGGAAGACUGCCCUAUGGGUUGUAAACCUCUUUUGUCAGGGAGCAACGCCGGCUACGUGUAGCCGGACUGAGAGUACCUGAAGAAAAAGCAUCGGCUAACUCCGUGCCAGCAGCCGCGGUAAUACGGAGGAUGCGAGCGUUUAUCGGAUUUAUUGGGUUUAAAGGGCGCGUAGGGCGGAAGUCCAGGUCAGUGGGAAAAUCGGGGGCCUAAACCUCGCACCGCCGUUGAAACUGGCGUUCUUGAGUGGGCGAGAAGUAUGCGGAAUGCGUGGUGUAGCGGUGAAAUGCAUAGAUAUCACGCAGAACUCCGAUUGCGAAGGCAGCAUACCGGCGCCCAACUGACGCUGAAGCACGACAGCGUGGGUAUCGAACAGGAUUAGAUACCCCGGUA
rnacentral:rRNA from 1 species